rnacentral:rRNA from 1 species
AUCAAAAACAUAGCCUUAGGAAACUUGAUCUAAGGUUAAACCUGCCCAAUGUAAGUUUUAUGAAUGGCCGCGGUACUUUGACCGUGCUAAGGUAGCGCAAUCAAUUGGCUUUUAAUUGAAGCCAUGUAUGAAUGGAAUCACGGGGUUUAGCUGUCUCCUAACUAUUUUAUCAAAAUUACUAUUCAGGUGAAAAAGCCUGAAAAAAGAAAAAGGACGAGAAGACCCUUAGAGUUUUUCUAAAAUUAGAAAUAUUUUUCUAAACAGUUUCGUUGGGGCAACAUAGGAGCAGAAAUAUUAACCUCCUGUAAAAUAUCUACCGAUAAUAUUAAAAAUGAAUAAACUACCUUAGGGAUAACAGCAUAAUUUUAUAAAUAAGUUUGUGACCUCGAUGUUGGACUAGGAAACUGAAAGGCUAGCCGCCUUUUAGGAAAGUUCUGUUCGAACUAUUAUUCCUACGUGAUCUGAGUUCA